AGUGAACGCUGGCGGCGUGCCUAAUACAUGCAAGUCGCACGAAGUGGCGCACGGGUGAGUAAUUUAUAGUUAAUCUGCCCUACACAGAGGAACAACAGUUGGAAACGACUGCUAAUACCUCAUAGUGUAGGAUGAGACUAUAUCGUAUCAGCUAGUAGGUAAGGUAAUGGCUUACCAAGGCUAUGACGCGUAACUGGUCAGAGAGGAUGAUCAGUCCAAUUGGAACUUAGACACGGGCCCAACACCUACGGUAAGCAGCAGAAAGGAAAAGUUGGCAAUAGGGGACACCCAGACGGAGCAAAGCCGCGUGGAGGAUUACACUGUUAUGAGCAUAAACUCCUUUUAUCAGGAGAGGGGUACCUGAUGAAUAAGCACCGGCUAACUCCGUGCCAGCAGCCGCGGUAAUAC
rnacentral:rRNA from 1 species